rnacentral:sRNA from 1 species
ACAGUUGUGAUCACGGCCCGCCGAACUGUGCACAUUGAGGUAAUUCGGGUUGGAUGGCAUAUUGUAAUGUAAUUUUCAACAGUUAUGCAAACCACGAACCAGAUUGAUAAAAACGUACAGAUGUAACUCCAAUACACUUGGAAUUGGCACAUGCCCUCUUCAUGAUUCAACCGAAAACCGAGACCUUCUAGCCACACGAAAGAUAGAGAAACCAGCACUCCACUAUCGGCGCUCAAAACAGCAAUCACGUAAACCGUGGAGGAUAUUCGUCGGAGUUCUUUGACGAGGAACGCACACGCUGACAGUGUGUUUCCUAUAAGUCCAGAGAAGACGAUCACCGGUAAAAUGUAGACCUGGAGGAAUUGGUACACUAGCUGCGUCUGAUUCAGCGUGAUGCCCUGAUAACAUCUUGAGGAGUUGCAGCUGAGAUUGGACAUCGACGCAUUCUCUAUUACCGUUCUAUUAUCCAUUUAGAUGCUCUGAAAUAAGCAAAAAAAACGUGUCCAUGUAGCAAUCAAAGAACAAAGUUUCCAGGUUUUUUAAACGAAUUUACCUGCACAAUUAUGUAUGUGUGUUUGUGCUCAUUGCAAAACUUUUUUUUUAAUACAUCUGUGACAUUGUUGUUCUGUAGUCACCUAGCAAAAUUAUAUGUCAGAACAUCAAACGGUGGAUUUUCAUGGUCACGUACAUAAAUGUUAGUUUUAGACCCACUUUGAACAAUGAUUAACCUAGAUUGCCGAGUUUUGAACACACUUUAUUAAUUACAAACCUUGUAUGCCUGAUCUAGUUUAUUGAUUUUACAGUCGUUCUUACACAAAUGACUAACCAGAGGUAGCUUCAGGCAAAAACAUCAAAUAGCGUGGUUCGUAGACCAUAACAAUCCUUACAUCAUUGAGAGUUGGGUUAUUCUUUUACGCUGCAUCAUUUGAAACAAAUUAAACGUGUAUUGCAUGUG